GUGUUUGCUUCAGCAGCACAUAUACAAAAUUGGAAAGAUACAGAGAAGAUUAGCAUGACCUCUGUGCAAAGAUGACAUGCAAAUUUGUGUAUACGAUUACUGUGGU